GCCGACAAUGAAGUCACCCUGAAUGCGUCUGAUCUCCUUGAGAUCUCAGAAGCUAUGCCGGUUUAAGGCUGGCUAGUACUUGGAUGGGAGACUGCCAGGGAAUCACAGACGUUCUCGGUU
rnacentral:rRNA from 1 species